rnacentral:rRNA from 1 species
AAGCUAUCUUCGGGUAGUGGACAGUGGCGGACGGGUGAGUAACGCGUGGGCACCUACCUUUUGGUACGGAACAACAGUUGGAAACGACUGCUAAUACCGUAUAUUCCCUACGGGGGAAAGAUUUAUCGCCAAAAGAUGGGCCCGCGUUAGAUUAGCUAGUUGGUGAGGUAAUGGCCCACCAAGGCGACGAUCUAUAGCUGGUUUGAGAGGAUGAUCAGCCACACUGGGACUGAGACACGGCCCAGACUCC